GAUGAACGCUGGCGGCGUGCCUAAUACAUGCAUGUCGAGCGAACAGACGAGGAGCUUGCUCCUCUGACGUUAGCGGCGGACGGGUGAGUAACACGUGGAUAACCUACCUAUAAGACUGGGAUAACUUCGGGAAACCGGAGCUAAUACCGGAUAAUAUAUUGAACCGCAUGGUUCAAUAGUGAAAGACGGUUUUGCUGUCACUUAUAGAUGGAUCCGCGCCGCAUUAGCUAGUUGGUAAGGUAACGGCUUACCAAGGCAACGAUGCGUAGCCGACCUGAGAGGGUGAUCGGCCACACUGGAACUGAGACACGGUCCAGACUCCUACGGGAGGCAGCAGUAGGGAAUCUUCCGCAAUGGGCGAAAGCCUGACGGAGCAACGCCGCGUGAGUGAUGAAGGUCUUCGGAUCGUAAAACUCUGUUAUUAGGGAAGAACAAAUGUGUAAGUAACUAUGCACGUCUUGACGGUACCUAAUCAGAAAGCCACGGCUAACUACGUG
rnacentral:rRNA from 1 species